rnacentral:lncRNA from 1 species
GCUCAUGGGCCUGAUAUGCUGCUCGGUGGCACUAUGCCUCCAGAUUCGGCCCACUUAUUUUUUUUCCAUGUGUCCCUCUGAAUUUGUCUAAUUUCAGUGUAGAUGUAUUUUUUUAAAACGCUGUACUUUUUAAACCGUGCGUCGGAUCACGACGAGUGAUAUAUGUAUAUCAUGUAGAAUUUCGCGUAGAGUAAUAUUUUCCAACUCUCAUGCAUGAUUAAAACCGUUAAGCUUGCUGGUUGCAUCGUUUCGCGUGACGUGCCGUGCUAAUACCGUUCUACCCGUAACAUUUGAUCCGUACCUCCGUUGGAGAUGAUCUAUAUAUGUAAAUCGAGUAGGACGAUGAGUAGAAUCAUGGGAAUCACUUUGUUUUACCGUUUAACAAACAUAAAAUGUGAUUAGGACAAAUCUGGACAGAAUUAGAAUUUAACGCAUGGGGUCAUUUCGGAGAUGCUAUAUGUCGUAUCGGGCCUCAUUUAAAAUGCCUAGAUAGGUAGAUUAAUUACGCUUCACCUCUUGCCAUGUUUAAUAACAUUUAAUAUUGCCGUGUAAAUUAACAGGAGUGAACUAAAUAAUUAAACGUGGAGUUUCGUCGAUAUGCAACCCGUUGCAUAUCGAGCUUCACUUAAUGUGUCGUGUUUGCGUGAGGUGAAUUGCCAUGCCAUCCCGUGCAUCGAUGAACUGAUCAUGCAUCAUAUUAGGGUAUGCAUCAUGUUAUGCAUCGUGUGGUGAAUAUCUGUGUUGAUGUUUGUUUCCAAUUUGCUCCGUCUCGAUAGGGUUCCGCAAGCGUGUCAAAAUGUGAGGACCCGUUCGACUACGUUGGUUUGCCGACUCCACCGAGUUGUUCUUGUUCAAAGCGGGAUCUCAGGCAAGAUGACCGUUUCCCCAGAUACCAUUACUAUCAUUGCCAUGCUAGUUUUACCGUUUCUACCGUUUAUGUCUCGUUGCCUACCACAUGUUAAAUAUCAGCCUCUCAACAAUGCCAUGAAACCUUCAACCUGUUCAACUUAGCAAACCACUGAUUGGCUAUGUUACUACUUGUUUAACCAUGUUGUUAGCGUUGCUAGUUGCAGGUGCAUUGCUUCCAUGUGAAAGCAUGGGUUCCUUGUUAUAUCACCAUAUUACUGCUAUUUAAUUUAAUGCACCUAUAUACUUAUUAAAAGGUGGAAGGCUCGGCCUUACUAGCCUGGUGUUUUGUUCCACCUUUGCCCUCUUAGUUUUCGGCUACUGGUGUUAUGUUCCAUAAAUGAGCGCUCCUAACACGAUUGGGGUUGUUAUGGGGACCCCCUUGAUAAUUCGUUUUAGAUUAAGAUUGGUCUAGCAAGGCCCAACUUUGGUACUACAUUUGCCUAAACACCUAAUAAAAUUGCAUAGGGACUUUCCUGACCCCGAGGAUAAUUUAAUCAACCCGGGGCCAGUGCUCCUCAUGAGUGUUGGUCCAAACUGGCAGACUACGGGGCCACCGCGGGGCAACCCGAGGUAUGGUUCUCCUAGUGUGACCCAUUCGUCGUGUCCUGAGAACGAGAUACGCGGCUCCUAUCGAGAUCAUCGACACAUCGGGUGGCCUUGCUGGAUUAGUUUUACCUUUGAUGAAAUAUCUUGUGCAUCGGGAUUCCGGUGAUGCUUUGGAUAAACUCAGAGUUGAGGUUUUCCACUAAGGAAUCCGACGAGAUUGCGAGCUUCGUGAUCGAGGGUUUCUAUGCGGCUUGUGGUAAUUUGUGAUGGACUAGUUGGAGCACCCAUGCAGGGUUAAAUCUUUUGGAAAGCCGUGCCCGCGGUUAUGUGGCAACGUGGAAACUUUGUUUAACACUUGUUCUAGAUAACUUGAGUAAUUUAAUUAAAAUAUGGCAACUGUGUGCGUAACCGUGACUGUCUCUUUCGUGAGUUCCUUCUCCGAUCGAGGACACGGUGGGGUUAUGUCUGACGUAGGUAGGUGUUCAGGAUCAUUCAUAUGAUCAUCAGUAGUCAUGUCCGUUAUGCGUAGAUCUUCCCUCUCUUAUUUCUGGUACUCGUAAGUGUAGCCACCUAAUAUAUGCUUAGCCGCUGCUGCAACCUCACCACUUAACCAUACCUCACCCAUUAAGCUUUGCUAGUCUUGAUACCUUUGGAAAUGAGAUUGCUGAGUCCCCUGUGGCUCACAGAUUACUACAACACCAGUUGCAGGUACAGGUAAAGGUUACUUGACGCGAGCGCGUUGAUUGUUCAUUUGGAGUUGCUUCUUCUUCCUCUUCUUCAUCGAUCUAGGAUGGGUUCCACGCCGGCAGCCUGGGAUAGCAAGGAUGGACGUCGUUCUUCUUUUCUUGUUUGUUUUCGUCCGUACUCAAACCGUGCUCUUACUCUUGAUGAUUAUGUAAUGUACUGAUGUGACUCUGAUGUAGCUUGUGGCGAGUGUAAGCCAAUUCUAUUAUAUCUCUUCUUUUCAGUACAUGUACUUGUAAUGAU